UGGGACAUUGAAGACCAGUCCUGCCUCCUCACUGUGAUUCCCAAAGCCAGUCAGAUCAGAGGAGAGAUGGCAGUUUGUUACUUCUCAAAUGAGCUGAGAGCUCUCUACCUUGCCGCAGAUUGCCUUGUUCUCCUACACUUCCAACAGAAGGAAGACCGGCUAAAUAAUUCUUGUGUGUCCCAUAAUGAACCAAUCCUCUGCUGCCAGUAUAACAAGUCAUUCCGGCAGGUGGUUAGUUGCUCGGAAGGAUCUACUGUAAAAGUGUGGGAUCUUCAAAAUGGACAACUGGUUACUGA
rnacentral:lncRNA from 1 species